rnacentral:tRNA from 1 species
GGGCGCGUAGCUCAGUUGGUAGAGCAGCUGACUCUUAAUCAGCGGGUCUGCGGUUCGAAACCGCACGCGCCCACCA